GAUGAACGCUGGCGGCGUGCCUAAUACAUGCAAGUCGAGCGAAUGGAUUAAGAGCUUGCUCUUAUGAAGUUAGCGGCGGACGGGUGAGUAACACGUGGGUAACCUGCCCAUAAGACUGGGAUAACUCCGGGAAACCGGGGCUAAUACCGGAUAACAUUUUGAACCGCAUGGUUCGAAAUUGAAAGGCGGCUUCGGCUGUCACUUAUGGAUGGGCCCGCGUCGCAUUAGCUAGUUGGUGAGGUAACGGCUCACCAAGGCAACGAUGCGUAGCCGACCUGAGAGGGUGAUCGGCCACACGGGGACUGAGACACGGCCCAGACUCCUACGGGAGGCAGCAGUAGGGAAUCUUCCACAAUGGACGAAAGUCUGACGGAGCAACGCCGCGUGAGUGAUGAAGGCUUUCGGGUCGUAAAACUCUGUUGUUAGGGAAGAACAAGUGCUAGUUGAAUAAGCUGGCACCUUGACGGUACCUAACCAGAAAGCCACGGCUAACUACGUGCCAGCAGCCGCCGUAA
rnacentral:rRNA from 1 species